CCCCUCCCAUGGCUCCAGAGAGGGAGAAGUCUCCCUGGUUUCGACGUCCUUUACCAAAGAGCGACUGUUUCAGGGGUUACCUCUCCUCUCAGGGACAAUUAAAGAAUCCAGUCUCUAUGGAUUAGAGGGGAGAUAUCUCUGAAAUAACUGAUCUGCAGUUCCCUUUGACAGUGGCUGCAGCUUUGGGUACCACGAGGGACUUUCUCUUUCAGGCCUUGGUCCCUGUUCCACACCUAAUAUCUUUGGAGGUCUGACUCCAGCUUUUCUGAGUCUCUCAGCCUCCACACAGGUCAGGACCAGAAGUCUCUGUUCUCCCUCCCAGAGACUUGGAGCCUCCUACCCUGGGCUGUAUCACCCUGAUUGUAGAACUUUCUAAGGAAGAGAUUGUCCCAGAUCCCUGGUCCAGGCUGGUGUCUGGGUUUUGCACCCCCUCCCCGACCCCAACUGUCCUGUCCAUUCUCAGGAUGGUCACAUGAACACUACUCAAGUGGCCUAUGGGAAGUACUUUAAAGUUCCUGAAUUUUCUGACCCUUCUUCUCAGAUCCCCCACAGAUACAUGUGACCCACCACCCAAUCUCUGAACUUGACGUUGACUGUGAUGUCAUGUUGAGGUGUUGGGCCCUGGGCUUCUACCUGGUAGAGAUCACUCUGGCCUGGCAGCAGGAUGGGGUGGACCAGACCCAGGACACGGAACUUGUGAAAACCAGGACUGCAGGGGGGUUAGAUCUUUCAGAAGUGGGCAGUCCUGGUGUGACCACUGAACAGUGUGUGGCAUGAUGGGCUGCCCAAGUCCCUCACCCUCAGAUGGAGUAAGGAGGGGGAUUAGGGUGGAGCCUCUCCUCAGGGAAAGCUAGAGCCCUUCUGGAGCUCUCCAGCAGGAUCAGGGCUGAGACUUGGGGCCGGGGCCCCUCACCUUCCCUUCCUUCCUUAGAGCCACCUUCUCAGUCCAGCACCCCCAUCAUGGGAAUUGUUUACCUGUUUCUCCUUGGAUCUGUGAUCGCUGGAGCUGGGGUGGCUGGAAUUGUGAUCUGAAAGAAGGGCUCAGGUAUGGAAGGGGGCUGGGUCUGAGUUUUCUUGUCCCACUGAGGGGUUUAAAGUCCCAGGUAGAAGAUUUUCUGUCUUCUGCCUCUUUAUAGGAGGCAUCAUCUAUACAUGUGCUGACCCAACCUGGGCCCUUAGCUCUAACACUUGUUCUUUUCUAAAAUAUAUGUAAAGAUGAAGGGCAGAUUUUUCACCCUGAUGAUUCUGGUGAUGGGGACCUGAUUCCUACCUGUUCCAGGUCAGAGGAGAAAGUCCCUGCUGAGGGCAGACCUCUAGGAGAGCAGUUGGUCCAGUCCCUGCACAUUUUCUUUACUCUUGUUUCCUGAUCCUGUCCCCAAUCUGGCAUCACAGUUCUAGAAACAUACUUGGGGUCCAGGACUAGUCCACUCUUCUAGGACCUGAUGACCCUGCCUCCUCCCUGGCCUCUCACAGGACAUUUUCUUCCCACCUGAGAUAAAGGAUGGAGCUAUGCUAUGAAUUGGAAUCAACUCCACGGCAACAGACAGUGGCCAGGCCUCUGAUGUCUCUCACGGUUUCUAAAGAACCCAGCCUAAGACAGAGCUGAUGUCAGCAGAGAUGGCUAAGACUCUGGAAGGAGCAUACUUAAGAAGAGGGCAUCACAGGCAUUCGGUUUCAGAAAUGUUAUAUCUGAGAUGUCUAUCAGAGAUAUUUUUAGAAUGUGAGAAGUCUUCAGCCUGCCACCUGACCUGCAGAUUUUGGAUUUGUCAGUCCCUGCAACCACAUGAGUCAGGAGAAAUCUUCAGCCUGCCACUUGACCCAUGGGUUUGGGGACUUGCCAGCCGUCACAAUUGUGUGAACCAUUUCCUUAAAUAAAUCUCAUAUUUAAAUGUACACUUCACUGAUUUUGCUUCUCUAGAAAGUCCAGCUUCUCUAGAAAACAUCCACCAAACACACCCACUAUCAAAAAUAUUCUUCCUACUGUGAUGAGUACAAUAAGUUUUCAGUACAUUAAGUUUUGUGGGAGACUGUGGUUGUUGUUAGGUGCCGUCGAGCUGCAUGUGGGAGACUAUAUAUAUUUAAUUUCAAAUUCUUGUUUAUUACCUACAUAAACUUGUUUUCACUGUGCUGUUGAUACAUUUUUCUAUGUGUAAAUGUUAUCUAUGAGUUUAAUACUGGUAUAGAAUGCACUAUACCACACUUUUUUUUUCCUCAUUGAAUACUGUUCCCUUAGUGUCACAUGGUCAAGAAUGAAUUAAAGUCAUUGGAUGAAGAAUAAACACUGCACUUGAUUCUCUUUCUGGACUUACUAUUCUGCUCCAUUGGUCUGUCUAUUUAUGUACCAGUAACACAUUAUUUUAGUGACAGAAACUUUAUAAAACGUUUUAGUUUUUGGCAGGGCUGGAUGGCCGCUUCUCAAUUUGGUCCUCGGUUUUUAAGGAUUUCCUGAUUGUUCUUAUUUAUUUUCUCAUAUGAACUUUAUAAUCAAUUUAUCUAACUUGAGACAAAAAACUCCACUUGUUGGUGUUUUUAUUAGGGUGUUUUAAAUUUAUAAAUUAACUCUGUGAGACAGCUGUGUAAUUUAUCUUCCUACCCCAAAACAUUGUGUGUCCUUCUAUCUGCUGGCAGCAGUCAAGAAGUCAAAUCUGCUGCAAAAGAUCUCUUUAAAUUGUUAAUAAGCAAAGAUACCACUUUAAGGAGUAAGGUGAAUCUGACCCAAACCAUGGUGUUUUCACCAUGCGUGUGAAAGUUGGACAAUGAAUAAGGAAGAUAGAAGAAGAACUGAUGCCUUUGAAUAAUGGUGUUGGUGAGGAAUACUGAAUAUACCACAGACUGCCAAAAGAAUGAAAAAAAAAAAUCUGUCUUGGAAGAAAUACAACCAGAAUGCUCCUUAGAAGCAAGGACAGCAAGACUACGUCUCACAUACUUUGGACAUGUUAUCGGAGGGACCAGUCCCUGGAGGACAUCAUGCUUGGUAGAGUAGAGGAUCAGUGUAAAAGAGGAAGACCCUCAAUGAGAUGGACCGACACAGUGGCUGCAACAAUGGGCUCAAGCAUAACAAUGAUUGUGAAGAUGGCACAGGACUGGGCAAUGUUUCAUUCUGUAGUACACAGGGUUGUUAUGAGUCAGAACUGACUGGACGGCACCUAACAACAACAACAUCCAAAAACAUUGUAUGUCCUUUUUUUUUGUAUGUCCUGCUAUCUGUUCAAGCCUAUUUUGUAAAUUUAGGAGCGUUUUAAAGUUUUCCUCUUACAGAAUUUUACACUUUUUUAUUGAAAAAAAAAAUUUAAAGACAUUUUGUUAGUGUUGUAUGUAGGGUGAUCUCUUUAAAAAUUUGAAACUUGUUAUAGGUUGUUUGUAGAAAGGCAAUUGUUUACUGUUUGGUAAUUUGUAGUCUACUAAUUUAUAAAAUUAUAUAUAUAUAUAGUAGUUUUCCAAGGCUUCUCUUGUGUAUUUCAAUAUGUAAUUACAUAACCUAGAAAUAGAGAUAGUGUUAACCCUUUCUUUUUUAUUCUGUUGUCACUAAGUGCUUGUUAUUGUCUAAUUGCAUUAGGUAAUAUCUUCUAAAUAAUGUCAGAUAAUAAUGGCAAUAGUAGGAAUCCUUGUAUUGUUCCUAAGUCAGCAGGAAUACAUUCAGUGUUUCUUCAUUAAAAUCAACUGCCCACUUUUUACCUGAGGUGUAUGUAUGUGUUUAUGUUAGAAAUAAUAUUUUUUUUAACUUAGCAAGAACUCUUGAAUUUUGUCAGAUAGUAUUUCAGCAUCUAUGGGGAAUAUAACAGAUUUUUUCCCGCUUAGAUUUUUCUAAUGAUGAAUUACAGGUAGUCUUCAACUUAUGACAUAUUUGAGUUACAAUGAGCCUCACUUAGGACCGUCUUUGUUUUGUUGUUAUUCAUCUUAUCCUUUGUAAUAUGCACUACACACAACGUUGCAAUGCAUAAUUUGCAGAUGUUAUCAUUCUCAGAUGUUCACUUGCAGAUGUUCAAUAUUAUGAUUUACUCUUCAAAACACUGCCGUACAGUAGGCUAUGAAAACUAAAAAAAAAAAAGGAAGUGUUCGACUUACAUCACAACCAACUUACAAAGGAGUCAUUUUAAGUCAGGAACUACCUGUAUAUUAGUGUAUUUAUCUUAAAGUGCACUAUCAUCAUCUUCCUGCAAUAAACUCCACUAGGUCGUAAUGAUUUAUUUUUUAAAAUUGUAUAGUUUGUUUCUGUUUGUUAAUAUUCAUGAAAGAUGUGUGUACUGACAUUCAUAAGGGAAAAUGGUCCGUAGUUUUCUUUUUUGUUUAAUUUUUCUUAGAUUUUGCUAUCAAUCAUAUUCUCAAUAAAAUAAAUUUGAAAUUUUUCCUUAUUUUUCUAUGCUUUGGAUACUUUAGUUAGCAUUGGGAUUGUCUGAUCCUUAAAUAUUUGGAGGAAUAUCCUGUGAAUCUUCCAUGGGGUUCAUAUUUUUCUUGGGGAAGCUCUUUAAUAACUUUCUCUAUUUCUUUAUGAAAAUUGAUCUGGUUAAACUUUCUGUACUGGGUUGGAUUUUAGUAAAUUAUAUUUUUGAGAAAAUCAUCUUCUUUUUUGUUGUCAGAUUUAUUUGCACAGUGUCUUAGUUAUCUUUCGUUGUUGUUGAGUUGAUUCCGACUCAUAGGACUCUAUAGGACAGAGUAGAGCUGCCUCCUAGAGUUUCCAAGGAGCACCUGGUACAUUUGAACUGUCAACCUUUUGGUUAGUAGCCAUAGCACUUAACCAGUACACCACAAACCCUCGUGGCGUAGUGGUUAAGAGCUAUGACUGCUAACUAGAAGGUCAGCAGUUUGAAUUCACCAAGGCGCUCCUUGGAAACCAUACAGAGUAGUUCUACUCUGUCCUAUAGGGUUGCUAUGAGUCAGAAUCAACUUGGUUUUUUUCUUAGUUAUCUAGUAUUGCUGUAACAGAAAUACCAUAAGUGAACAGCUUUAACAAACAGAAAUUUAUUUUCUCACAGUUUAGGAGAAUAGAAUUCUGAAUUCAGGAUGCCGGCUCUAGGGGAAGCGUUUCUUUUUCUGUGGGCUCUGGAGGAAGGUCCUUGUUUGUCUCUUUGAGCUUCUUUCUGCUCCUGGGUCAUCUUCAUGUGGCUUGGCUCUCUCUUCCCUCAUCUCUGAUUCUUUUGGUUGCUUGUUUAAUCUCUUUUUCAUCUCAAAAGAGAUUGAUUUAAGACACUUCUACACUAAUCCUUCCUCAUUAACAUAAAGACAAUCCAUUCCCAAAUGGGAUUAUAACCACAGGUAUAGAAGUUUUUUUUUUUUUUUUUUUUUAUAGA